rnacentral:misc_RNA from 1 species
UCUUAAGGCUCCGCCUUGCGUUGAGGUUUCCCGCGAGGGAACCCUCCAAACCCAUGGGCGUCUGUCGUGCCUGAACCGCAACACUCUGCGUGCAAGGGACUUCGGCAUGCGCCAGUCAACCGUCUA